CGCGUAGGCGGUGGAACAAGUCACAUGUGAAAUACCAGGGCUCAACUCUGGGGGGUCAUGUGAAACUGUUUUACUUGAGUGCAGUAGAGGGAAGCGGAAUUCCUGGUGUAGCGGUAAAAUGCGUAGAGAUCAGGAGGAACACCGGUGGCGAAGGCGGCUUUCUGGGCUGUAACUGACGCUGAGGCGCGAAAGCGUGGGGAGCAAACAGGAUUAGAUACCCUGGUAGUCCACGCCCUAAACGAUGAUUACUCGACAUACGCGAUACACAGUGUGUGUCUGAGCGAAAGCAUUAAGUAAUCCACCUGGGAAGUACGACCGCAAGGUUGAA
rnacentral:rRNA from 1 species